CACGUAGGGUGCGAGCGUUUGUCCGGAAUUAUUGGGCGUAAAGAGCUCGUAGGCGGUCUGUCACGUCGGCUGUGAAAACCCGAGGCUCAACCUCGGGCCUGCAGUCGAUACGGGCAAACUAGAGUACUGCAGGGGAGACUGGAAUUCCUGGUGUAGCGGUGAAAUGCGCAGAUAUCAGGAGGAACACCGGUGGCGAAGGCGGGUCUCUGGACAGUUCCGUGACGGCUGAGGCACGAAGGCCAGGGGAGCAAACGGG
rnacentral:rRNA from 1 species